rnacentral:rRNA from 1 species
UACGGAGGGUGCAAGCGUUAUCCGGAUUCACUGGGUUUAAAGGGUGCGUAGGUGGGCUAGUAAGUCAGUGGUGAAAUCUCCGGGCUUAACCCGGAAACUGCCAUUGAUACUAUUAGUCUUGAAUACCAUGGAGGUGAGCGGAAUAUGUCAUGUAGCGGUGAAAUGCUUAGAUAUGACAUAGAACACCAAUUGCGAAGGCAGCUCGCUACGCGGUUAUUGACACUGAGGCACGAAGCGUGGGAUCAACAGG